AGUCGUAUCCGACUCCUAGCGACCCCAUGGACUGCAGCCUACCAGGCCCCUCCAUCCAUGGGAUUUUCCAGGCAAGAGUACUGGAGUGGGUUGCCAUUGCCUUCUCUGAGAGACUGGGUUAGCAAACAGCAAAACGAUGGGGAGGAGCAGGAAGAGCAGGGGAACCUUGCACCAGCCCCUCCGCCUCGCCGUGUUCUGUGGUGCGUGUAUGGAGAGAGGGACAGCCAGAAUGGCUGCCACAUGCCAGAGGAAUGUGGGCUCCAGAGGCUGCUGUGAUUCAGCUUUCAGUUCUCUCAUUUGCUGUGUGUCCUUCAGCAAGACGCUUAACAUCUCUGAGCUCCAAGCCCUCAUUCAUAAAAUGGGGAUACUCAGUGAGCAUUCAACAAACAGUGACUGUUGUUGUUGUUAAAUUGCUCACAAACUUCACAUGGGCCUUCGAUGAGCCAGGCUCCAGGCUCUGAGAACGCCAAGCACCACCUGGAAGCAGUCCAUUGGGCCACAAAGUGUUGGACACGCCUGAGCGACUAACACAGCAGAGGAAGCAAUAGGAGCGAAAAGUGGUUGCAAGGUGACUGCUUAUCCGGCCUCGCCGUGAGCCUCUGGGCAAGACCCUUCCCCUCCGUCUCCGGCGUGGGAGGGCCCGGCCUUGUGCCUUCCAGCCCCAGUCAUCUCCUUUCUACUUCACAAGUCACCACAGCCUUGGAAGCCUGCAUGAUGACCGAUUUGAUAUUUGUCUCAAAACAGAGGCACCCCUAUUUAAAAAUCACUCAUUUCUAAAUGAAAAUAUUUUUAAAUUGCUCAUUUGAACAAAAACUUUGUAACAACCGAAGAGCCAGUAUCAUUUGCCAUCAAUAGAAAAUAGCUGUGAACAAAACAAGGCGAUACACCACUACUCAGAUGCUGGCACUUCCUGAAGACUCUGGGCCUCGGGUCUGGAGUGAAGGGGUGGAAGAGAUGAGCAGAUGUCCUGGGAGGUGUUUAAAACACCCCAACACCUAGGUGAGACUUUACCAAGGUGAGACUCCCUCCCUGCAGAGUUGUAAGGGUUGGAAGAGACCUGGAGAGGGAACGCAAGCCUCUCUGGG
ensembl:lncRNA